UGACAGCUCAGUCAGCAGAGCAUGAGAUUCCUAAUCUCAGGGAUAUGAGUUCAAGACCCACAUUGGGCAAAA